rnacentral:rRNA from 1 species
UACGUAGGGGGCAAGCGUUUGUCCGGAAUCAUUGGGCGUAAAGAGCGUGUAGGCGGCUCGGUAAGUCCGCUGUGAAAGUCCAGGGCUCAACCCUGGAAUGCCGGUGGAAACUGUCGAGCUAGAGUCCGGAAGAGGCGAGUGGAAUUCCUGGUGUAGCGGUGAAAUGCGCAGAUAUCAGGAGGAACACCGAUGGCGAAGGCAGCUCGCUGGGACGGUACUGACGCUGAGGAGCGAAAGCGUGGGGAGCGAACAGG